GCCACUGUGGUGUAGUGGUUUGAAUAUUGGACUAUGACUCUGGAGAUCAGAGUUUGAUUCUCUGCUCAGCCC
rnacentral:tRNA from 1 species